rnacentral:misc_RNA from 1 species
GAUGAAGAACGCAGCGAAAUGCGAUAAGUAAUGUGAAUUGCAGAAUUCAGUGAAUCAUCGAAUCUUUGAACGCACAUUGCGCCCCCUGGUAUUCCGGGGGGCAUGCCUGUUCGAGCGUCAUUACAACCCUCAAGCUCUGCUUGGUAUUGGCCCCCGCCAGUUCUGGCGGGCCCUAAAGUCAGUGGCGGUGCCUUCCGGCUCCGAGCGUAGUAAUUCUUCUCGCUCUGGAGACCCGGUUGUGUGCUUGCCAACAACCCCCAAUUUUUUAAGGUUGACCUCGGAUCAGGUAGGGAUACCAGCUGAACUUAAGCAUAUCAAUAAGCGGAGGA